GUGCUCGCUUUGGCAGCACAUAUACUAAAACUGGAAUGAUACAGAGAAGAUUGGCAUAGCCCCUGUGCAAGAAUGGCCCCAGAUUUGUGAGAUGCUCCAUAUUUUU
ensembl:snRNA U6 U6 spliceosomal RNA